AGAGCCGACCCGAUGCUGCUUGAAGAAGGCUGGAGGUAUGUUAAGGAGACAAGGGCUGUCAAGAAGCAGGGAUGUCUCUGGAAAGGGUGAGCAGCUGACGUCCUUUGUAAGUUCUCUGGGCAGCAUUGAUGGGAGGUGAAAACCUUGGGAAGAGUCUUGGUUUAACGUGGACUCUAAAUGGUACAAAGUAAUUAGGGCCUCCUUUGUUUCCAUAAACUAUCAUAGACACUCUUCUAAAAUUUCUGUGUUAUCCUAGCUGCUUUUCUAUGAUAUUUUUGGACCCCUGACUUAUUUACACAAAUGGAAUGAUAGCUUUUGGUUGGAAAUUUUAAAUGUCUAAGGCACAAAUUAGACAUGGGACUUCAUUCACACUUCUCCUCUAGAUCUUAAUCAAGACACCCUACAAGCUAUAUUGGACAUUGCACAACGUUUACAAGUGCAAAAUGUACGGAACAUGUGUCAAGCAUUUUUAAAAUUUGCCAUUGUGGAGCAGUGCUCCAGCAUGAUUUGUAAUAGUGCAUUCUGCCUUCCAAAAUGUUUUGACUACUGGUGGUAAUUGCUUUACAAGUGAAAAUUAGCCUCCUCCGUUCUCAGAAUACUUGUAAUCUGAGCAUAUCACACCUCCACAUUUUGCUUGUGAUGCUCUCUCUGUACCUUUUAUCUUCUUAGGCUAUUGAAAUAGUUCAGGUUUCAGCUCAACCGUCGUCUACUCCAUGAAGCCCUCCUUGAUCCUCUCAUUCAAUACUGAUUACUUAAUGCCUUUGUAUUCCCAUAACAAAUGCCUUUGUUUCCAUCUGUUGAUAUUAGGCAGCACAAUCUGAAUUGAGUCAUUGUUGUGUACUUGUUUAUAUUUUCUAGCGGAUUGUGACAUUUAUAUUUGGGUGACUCUGUUUCUUAGUAAAGGAUCUUAAAGAAAGUAUGCUCUCAAUAAAUGCUUAUUCAGUUGAAUUUUGGGUAUUAAUAAAAUGCAAAUUCCAGUA
rnacentral:lncRNA from 10 species